GCCCUAGCACCAUCUAACUUCAUCGCAGUUGGUAGAGCGCGGCACUAGUAAUGCCGAGGUCUUGAGUUCGACUCUCAACGGAGGCA
rnacentral:tRNA from 1 species